GUCCUGCUGCGGCUCUCGUCGAAGGCGACAUAUUCCAGCGACCUUAAUUCACUCAUAGGGAGCUGUCCCUGCCCGCGACCGUGGUUUCGGGCACACGGCGCCCACCUGGUCUAUCCAGGUCGAGGGAAUGAAACAGUCCUUCACGGCUCUCGCGGCGCCGCC
rfam:Phenylobacterium sp. RIFCSPHIGHO2_01_FTLL_69_31 rifcsphigho2_01_scaffold_448, whole genome shotgun sequence.